UUUUAUGUUCUCAUGUAUACCGCUUCCUCAGUUGCUUACGCUCAUGUUCGUUCGCUUGUAACGGCGGGAGAAAUCCAAUGUUGCAUUUUGAGUUAUCCGAAUACAGAUUUUUUGUAUUUGUAAAAUAUUCAUGAGCUUAUUGAGAGGGCCAUUAAGGAGCUUACUUUGGGCUAAUUAGAUGAAUUAAACAAAGUGGUAAUUCACAACUAAAAAAACUUAUCAACUAAAAUAUAAAGUCGUUGGGAUUCUGCUCCAUCAUUAUGACAUGACGUUAUCGUAGUGAUUGCAUAUCUCUUUCAUGUAAUAACCCAAGUGCCUUGAGCAGUUUGGUAAUUUGGGGUAAAGGUGAUUUGUUUAGGCCUUUAUACAUGUGAGAUCUUUCCUCAAAGAGCAAGUCCCAUAUGUUUCUUGUUCCAAUACAGACAGUGAUCUUCGCGCUAAUGUUUUUUAUCAACUCACCUUCAAAAGUUAUCAACACGCAUU
rnacentral:sRNA from 1 species